GUUCAGCGGUAGAACAUUUGCCUGGCAUGCAGGAGGUCCUGGGUUCUAAUCCCCAG
rnacentral:tRNA from 1 species